AAAGUGACAGGUGGUGCAUGGUUGUCGUCAGCUCGUGUCGUGAGAUGUUGGGUUAGGUCCCGCAACGAGCGCAACCCUUAAGCUUAGUUGCCAGCAUUAAGUUGGGCACUCUAAGUUGACUGCCGGUGACAAACCGGAGGAAGGUGGGGAUGACGUCAAAUCAUCAUGCCCCUUAUGAUUUGGGCUACACACGUGCUACAAUGGACGAUACAAAGGGCAGCUAAACCGCGAGGUCAUGCAAAUCCCAUAAAGUUGUUCUCAGUUCGGGUUGUAGUCUGCAACUCGACUACAUGAAGCUGGAAUCGCUAGUAAUCGUAGAUCAGCAUGCUACGGUGAAUACGUUCCCGGGUCUUGUACACACCGCCCGUCACACCACGAGAGUUUGUAACACCCGAAGCCGGUGGAGUAACCAUUUAUGGAGCUAGCCGUCGAAGGUGGGACAAAUGAUUGGGGUGAAGUCGUAACAAGGUAGCCGUAUCGGAAGGUGCGGCUGGAUCACCUC
rnacentral:rRNA from 1 species